rnacentral:rRNA from 1 species
GGGUCAGUAGGUUGGUCGUGCCACCGGUAAUUACUGGUCUCACUGAUUCCUCCUUCCUGAAGAACCGUAAUGCCAUUAAUUUGGUGUUGCGGUGAAACAGGACUGUUACUUUGAAAAAAUUAGAGUGUUUAAAGCAAGCUAACGCUUGAAUACAUUAGCAUGGAAUAAUGAAAUAGGACGAUCGAUCCUAUUUUGUUGGUUUCUAGGAUUGACGUA